UACGUAGGGGGCAAGCGUUGUCCGGAAUUAUUGGGCGUAAAGAGCUCGUAGGCGGUCUGUCGCGUCUGCCGUGAAAGUCCGGGGCUCAACUCCGGAUCUGCGGUGGGUACGGGCAGACUAGAGUGAUGUAGGGGAGACUGGAAUUCCUGGUGUAGCGGUGAAAUGCGCAGAUAUCAGGAGGAACACCGGUGGCGAAGGCGGGUCUCUGGGCCGAUAUUGACGCUGAGGAGCGAAAGCGUGGGGAUCAAACAGG
rnacentral:rRNA from 1 species